CUUCGGAACUAGAGACCGGCGCACGGGUGCGUAACGCGUAUGCAAUCUACCUUUUGCNGAGGGAUAGCCCAGAGAAAUUUGGAUUAAUACCUCAUAGUAUAGUGAUACCGCAUGGUACUACUAUUAAAGUCACAACGGCAAAAGAUGAGCAUGCGUCCCAUUAGCUAGUUGGUAAGGUAACGGCUUACCAAGGCUACGAUGGGUAGGGGUCCUGAGAGGGAGAUCCCCCACACUGGUACUGAGACACGGACCAGACUCCUACGGGAGGCAGCAGUGAGGAAUAUUGGACAAUGGGCGCAAGCCUGAUCCAGCCAUGCCGCGUGCAGGAUGACGGUCCUAUGGAUUGUAAACUGCUUUUAUACGAGAAGAAACACUCCUUCGUGAAGGAAUUUGACGGUAUCGUAAGAAUAAGGAUCGGCUAACUCCGUGCCAGCAGCCGCGGUAAUACGGAGGAUCCAAGCGUUAUCCGGAAUCAUUGGGUUUAAAGGGUCCGUAGGCGGUCUUGUAAGUCAGUGGUGAAAGCCCAUCGCUCAACGGUGGAACGGCCAUUGAUACUGCAGGACUUGAAUUACUAGGAAGUAACUAGAAUAUGUAGUGUAGCGGUGAAAUGCUUAGAGAUUACAUGGAAUACCCAUUGCGAAGGCAGGUUACUACUAGU
rnacentral:rRNA from 1 species